AUCAACGCUGGCGGCGUGCCUAACACAUGCAAGUCGAACGCGAGAGGGGCUUCGGCCCUGAUUGAGUGGCAAACGGGUGAGUAACGCGUGGGUGACCUACCUUCGAGUGGGGGAUAACGUUCCGAAAGGGACGCUAAUACCGCAUAACAUCCUGUCUUUGGACAGAUGGAGAUCAAAGCCGGGGAUCGUAAGACCUGGCGCUUGAGGAGGGGCCCGCGUCCGAUUAGCUAGUUGGUGGGGUAAUGGCUCACCAAGGCAACGAUCGGUAGCCGGCCUGAGAGGGCGGACGGCCACACUGGGACUGAGACACGGCCCAGACUCCUACGGGAGGCAGCAGUGGGGAAUUGUUCGCAAUGGGCGCAAGCCUGACGACGCAACGCCGCGUGAAGGAUGAAGGUCUUCGGAUUGUAAACUUCUGUUGAUCGGGACGAACAGCCAA
rnacentral:rRNA from 1 species